UACGUAGGGUGCGAGCGUUGUCCGGAAUUACUGGGCGUAAAGAGCUCGUAGGUGGUUUGUCGCGUUGUUCGUGAAAACUCACAACUCAAUUGUGGGCGUGCGGGCGAUACGGGCAGACUGGAGUACUGCAGGGGAGACUGGAAUUCCUGGUGUAGCGGUGAAAUGCGCAGAUAUCGGGAAGAACACCCGUGGCGAAGGCGGCUCUCUGGAACGCAACUGACGCUGAGACGCGAAAGCGUGGGGAGCAAACAGG
rnacentral:rRNA from 1 species